rnacentral:tRNA from 10 species
GCUCUCCCCUGAGCUUACAGUGGACUCGGGGUUCUUCCGAACCCCUCUUGGGAGUACUGAAUGGAAAAGGGGGAGCGUGCGCAAGUGCUUGGUAGAGUGUAGACGUCGUGGGAUUUGACUGUGGUACAAUCGCUUCGACGUCCUAGUGCUGAUUUUUCCACCUGCCUUCUGCUUAGGGCACCGGCAGCAGUUUUCCGUCUGUGCCUACUCCACCUGCUGUCCUUGUUGGGUCAGCGAACAUCGCCUCCCUCUACCGCUCAAUCAGCAAACGGGACCGCCCUCGAGGACCUCACCCGCCGCUUACCCCCCUAACAAAUUCGCGGGCAUCGCCUCCGGUCGCCUCUUCCCAAGGCCUAACGAGCGCCUUCGCUGGCAACGGAGGUGAGGAGGCUCCGCUGACUGGCUGGUGCCCGUGUCCGGGGCUGCCACAAACGCCACGACUUGGCUUGGCCUCUCUCUUAGUUAUUCGCAGCUCAGCCCGAUGGGCGUCUCCGGGGUGGCGACGGGAAAGAAGGUGGGCUUAUUGGGUGCAGCUCCACGGGGGCUGGCAUCUCUGCCGGGCUGUGUACACCUGAGCGAGAAGCUCAGUCGCUCUCUAAAGCUGCUCCCGCGGAUGACGGACACGGAGACAAAUAGGAACGGUGUGUCGUGAGAGGUGGUCCACAAGCACUUGCCCUCCUUCGCCCGGCUUUAACCCCGCUGCGGAGACUGUUCUGCUUCUGGCCCUUGGAGCAGGCCGGCUGACAGCGUAGUGAAGGAAGAUUCCUGCGGGAGGGCGGCCAGUGUAAAACAAUUCCCUGACCGGGAAUCGAACCCGGGCCGCGGCGGUGAAAGCGCCGAAUCCUAGCCACUAGACCACCAGGGACACACAGGAGGGAGCUUUCUCUCCCUUCUUCUGUCAGAAGCGACAGCUUCCCUGAGCUCUGGGAGGACUUGGGCCUUGUGAGGGUCGCUCUUUGCUCCUGGAGUCUCUCACAAGGCCAUUCCCUCCCUGCUUUCUUCAAAAAAAGAGCCUGCAAGCGACACACCGAGGGCUCCGCGAGGGACACCGAGGCCACGAGUCCGAAGGCCUGGAGCGAGUUGCAGCGACCCGGCCGCAGCUCACCACUGGACUAGAGAUGCGCCUUUGCGAGGUGGCAGCAAGUGACCAGUCGGUCGUGCGUCGCCAGGUCCGGAGCCGCGCACCAGGUUGCCAGGAGGAGGCGGGAGCGCGGAGGCGCCCGGGGUGAGACGGGGGCACCCUCUGCAUCAUAAAGGACCCAGACGCCAGCACCCUCAACGUCAUAAGGAAUCAGACGGAUGCGGAAACCGAGACGGGCUGGAUGGGAAACUCUUUCCAGGAAGGCUCCGGGGCCCUCAGCUGGUCUCCGACCUUCCCCUGCAACCUGUGACACCUGCCAUUUUCCCAUCUUAGGCGAUGGCAACGCCACCCUUCCGUUUGCUCCGGGCAAAACUUCGAGAGUUCCCUCUGACUCUGGAGUUUUUUCCUCAGAUCCAAGAGCCAACUGGUCAUCAAUUCGUAAUUUCCCAUCGGCUAAGUGCGUGGGCAUUGAGCUACACGCGAGUCUCUCCACCUCUGCGGAAUGGCUACUUCGGGGUAGGGGAGGGGCCCUCCCGUGGAUUGUAAGGUGUUUAGCAGCAGCCGUCGCCUCCGCUGACUAGAUACAUGCCAGGGGGUUAGCAUUCUCCCUCCCCGCUUCCCCCAUUCGUGACCUAGUGUCCCAGCGUGGAGGUGAGAGGCGUGUAAGGGCAAAGUUGCCCCCUCUUGAGAACCACUGAUGCGCGUUGUCCUGCUGUCUGAGCUUGUGCAGAGGACUCUCCAGAUGAAGGCUCAGGGGUCGAUCCAGCUUGAGACCCCCUCGCUCCCCCGCACAGUCAGACCUUAGGAUUGGAGGCUUUUAACAUCUCUACAUCAUGAGAUUCGAAACCUUUAGGUCUUUUCUUCCGUUCUGUCCUCCAAAUCGGCCUCUUCCGAGCCUGUUGACCAGGGCCAGCCAGGCAGACGGCUGGGUUCGCUCAACGAGGCUCCUCUCGGCCCUCCUGGAGCUUCAGGCCUCUUUCGGUUGCAGAGAAACUUUAUGGGCCA